rnacentral:lncRNA from 1 species
UAAAAAAGAACUUUAUUUAUUGAGGGCAAGGGGAUGCAAACAAUACAAAAAUCAAAAGCUUAUCUGGUAUUUAACUUUUCUUUCUCUGCUUGUCAAAUGAGAGUUAGAUUUUAUUUUUACAUUUGCUAAGUGUCCUGAUCUGCUCAUGAAAUCCUUCUAUGGGGGAAGCUGUGGGGCAGAUUCCUUAAGCGACCCUUUGGGACAACUCUUAUCAGGGAGGAGCGAACUGCUCAUUUCUGCCUACUUCUUUCCCUUCUGCUUCAUGUGUACUACAAAAUAGUCAUUGCAUGCAAUGGUGAGGCCCGCAAUUAGGGAAAAGAAGCUCUGGAAGCCCACUUUGCCAUCUCUACACUGGUCCAGGUCCUUCAUUAUUUUGUCCACAGCCAGAGGGUCUUUUUGAUUUUCCAAAAAUCCAGGGAACUCCUUUUCCAUGAG